rnacentral:lncRNA from 1 species
GUUUUUUACACAUGGAUAGUUUCCCACAUUGCUUGAAGAUUGGAAGUGAGAGCACUUUAUGAAAUGUCCUUUUGGACACACUUUCAUUGAAGGUUCCAUGUCCCAAGGAGCAAAGAGACAAGUCAUGAUCAAGUGGCCUUAUCAUAUGGGGUGAUGCCUGGUCUCAUGAUUGAGGAAAUCAAGAAUGCAGACACACCAAGGGUGAUGUUGGAGGAGAGGUUUAAUAGGUGAAAGAAAGAGAACAACUCUCCACUGCAGAGAGGGAUCCUCAAAAACUCUUGACUUUCAGGAGUGAAAUGCAAUGGUUUUUAUACAUGAGCUAGUGGAAGGGAGUGUCUUAUCCACAUAGGGCAUGAAAAAAUGGUUAGGACCAGGUGUGUCAUCUCCAUAGAACACGAAUCUCUGGCAGCCCACACUCCAACCUUUUAUUAUGCAGGCGGGUUCUUAGCCUGAGCUACUCCAAGUUGCUUAUCUCUUUCCUACUGUGCAUGUGCAAAAAAGUUGGGUGGAGCCCCCCAUGUUGAAUGUGUCUGGCCUGAGGUGGUCCCUUCUUUUGGUGCAGCUGCAGUCAUACCCUCUCAUAUAAGCUUCUAGCUUCCUUAUCUAUGAUUGCAGCCCCAUCUUCCAGGUUGCUCUUUGUUAAAGAGAAGUGAUUUCUUGGGCUGCUUUUCUUUAGAAGGGACGUUCUGCCGAGGACUGUGCUGUAUCUGACUAGCUAGUUUCUUUCUACCUCCACUCUCAAUGAUAACUGUCCAGCUUUUAAGGGCAUCAUGGGGUUGGGAACAAAUUUGAGACCACAAAGUACCUUAGAAUACGACUUUACCCUUCUAUCAACUUUAGUGUGAAUUGCACAUCUACUGUAAUAUCUGCUUCAUGCACUACUGAAUAUAACAAGAAGGGAAAAUGUGUAUCUUCUAAGAAUCCAGAUGACAAACAGACUUUCCACAGAUUCUUUGCAUCCUCCUGUUUCUAGAGCUUGGUCAUUCCAGUGUAGAUUGUUCUCUUCGGAAACAGCAGGUGAUGAGGAAGCCUAGGCUGGCAAGCAGGACACUGUGGAUUACUUGUUGCGGAGGUGUUUCCGUGGGGUCACUAAAGGGGCAGGCACAGCAGCCCACAGGACAGCUUCAGCAGCGAUUCCCUCUGGCUCUGCCCCAGCAAGGUAAGGCAGCCAGCAAAGCUCUGAUUCCUUGUCCUAAAGGGCGACCUCGGCCGGGUAAGCCCCAGCCUCCAGAAAAAAAGGGCAGUAUCAGGGAGCGCCCCACGUUACGGCCUUGUUGUGGGCUGCACCUGCAGCCUCACUGGUGCAUGACUUCUAGGUUCUGUUCUGGUCCUUCAGGAGGCAGAAGAUGAUGUUUCUCUUCAAUUCACCACCCUGUUGGCUGGGCCUGGGAAGGACUCGAGGUCUGCACGGUGGUUUCCGAGUCUCCAGCACCCAGUUUUCCCAAUGUGCUGACAAGCAGGAUGGCCAGAAGUACCUGGGUGGGGAAGACAUAGGGUGAGCAGAAGAAGGGCUCCUGCUCAGCACUUCCCAUCUUCCUAGGACAAGCCUGGCUCCAACA